rnacentral:rRNA from 1 species
AUUGAACGCUGGCGGAAUGCUUUACACAUGCAAGUCGAACGGCAGCACGGACUUCGGUCUGGUGGCGAGUGGCGAACGGGUGAGUAAUAUAUCGGAACGCGCCCAGUCGUGGGGGAUAACGUAGCGAAAGCUACGCUAAUACCGCAUACGAUCUACGGAUGAAAGCGGGGGAUCACAAGACCUCGCGCGAUGGGAGCGGCCGAUAUCAGAUUAGGUAGUUGGUGAGGUAAAGGCUCACCAAGCCGACGAUCUGUAGCUGGUCUGAGAGGACGACCAGCCACACUGGGACUGAGACACGGCCCAGACUCCUACGGGAGGCAGCAGUGGGGAAUUUUGGACAAUGGACGCAAGUCUGAUCCAGCCAUUCCGCGUGCAGGACGAAGGCCUUCGGGUUGUAAACUGCUUUUGUACAGAACGAAAAGGUCUCUAUUAAUACUAGGGGCUCAUGACGGUACUGUAAGAAUAAGCACCGGCUAACUACGUGCCAGCAGCCGCCGUAA